GGACAGGUGGGGACACGGCUGUGAACAGGUAGGGACACCUGGGACAGGGUUUGGGACACCUGGGGACAGGGCUAGGGACACCUGGGCUCUCUAGGGGUCACCUGGGACACCUGGGGACACUGGGACAGGUGGGGACAGGUGGGGACAGGUGGGGACAGGUGGGGACACGCUGCUGAAGGUGACCGGUCCCCGCGGCGUCCGGGCCGUGAACGUGUCCAGCUCCAGGUGCCACGCCGCGCCCAGCGAGCGCAGGUGGGACAGGAUGUGCUGGGGGGGACACGUGGGGACAGGUGGGGACAGGUGGGGACAGGUGGGGACACGCUGCUGAAGGUGACCGGUCCCCGCGGCGUCCGGGCCGUGAACGUGUCCAGCUCCAGGUGCCACGCCGCGCCCAGCGAGCGCAGGUGGGACAGGAUGUGCUGGGGGGGACACGUGGGGACACGUGGGGACACCUGGGAU